rnacentral:rRNA from 1 species
GAUGAACGCUAGCGGCAGGCUUAACACAUGCAAGUCGAGGGGUAUAGUUCUUCGGAAUUAGAGACCGGCGCACGGGUGCGUAACGCGUAUGCAAUCUACCUUUCACAAAGGGAUAGCCCAGAGAAAUUUGGAUUAAUACCUUAUAGUAAUACGACUUGGCAUCAAGAUGUAUUUAAAGAUUUAUCGGUGAAAGAUGAGCAUGCGUCCCAUUAGCUUGUUGGUAAGGUAACGGCUUACCAAGGCAACGAUGGGUAGGGGUCCUGAGAGGGAGAUCCCCCACACUGGUACUGAGACACGGACCAGACUCCUACGGGAGGCAGCAGUGAGGAAUAUUGGACAAUGGGCGCAAGCCUGAUCCAGCCAUGCCGCGUGCAGGAAUAAGGUCCUAUGGAUUGUAAACUGCUUUUAUACAGGAAGAAACACACCCUCGUGAGGGUACUUGACGGUACUGUAUGAAUAAGGACCGG